rnacentral:rRNA from 1 species
AUUGAACGCUGGCGGAAUGCUUUACACAUGCAAGUCGAACGGUAGAGGGGGCAACCCCUUGAGAGUGGCGAACGGGUGAGUAAUAUAUCGGAACGUGCCCAGUCGUGGGGAUAACGUAGCGAAAGUUACGCUAAUACCGCAUACGAUCUAAGGAUGAAAGCGGGGGAUCGCAAGACCUCGCGCGAUUGGAGCGGCCGAUAUCAGAUUAGGUAGUUGGUGAGGUAAAGGCUCACCAAGCCAACGAUCUGUAGCUGGUCUGAGAGGACGACCAGCCACACUGGGACUGAGACACGGCCCAGACUCCUACGGGAGGCAGCAGUGGGGAAUUUUUGGACAAUGGGGCGCAAGCCUGAUCCAGCAAUGCCGCGUGCAGGAUG